GGAAAGUGGCUGAUGGGGGUAGCGAGCGCUCCCCCUGCACCUCACCGCCUCCCAGCAGGAUCUGGGGCUCUCCUUCUGCACCGGAACCGCUUCCCAGAGAGAUUCACUUAGUGAAGAGGGGCCCAAAGCUGGAGAUAUCGAGGGAGCUAACUCCCAAUCCCACUCCUUACCUGUUUUUUCAGUCCUCUUUUGUCUUCAUUCAAAUCGGCUCGCCUUCUCGGAGCAAACCAGUUCGAAGAGAAGAUUCGACUUGUGAUAAGAGCCCGGUUUGGGGAGCUACUUGGUACCUCCUCACCCCACCAUGGAAAGUGCCUAGAGCAUCCUUUCCUGGUUCCAGCUGA
rnacentral:lncRNA from 1 species